rnacentral:tRNA from 1 species
UAGCUCAGUGGCAUAGAGCCUGCCUGGCAAGCAGGAGGUCCUGAGUUCGAUCCUCAG